UCUUGUGAUAAAAUUAGUGAAUUCUAAAGAAGACUAUGGUCUCUAUGUGAACUGAUUAUUUUGUAGACAUUGUUGGAACACAAGAUUUUAGUCAGACAGCGACAAUAUUUAACACACAAUAAUAUUCGAAUUGAACGUCACAGAAAUGUAUUUCAUUCAAAUAUUUUAUGUUCUCAUCCAAAUGAAAUAAAGAUUGCACAUAUUUUCAUUUCCACUACCAUUUCUCUCCUAACUAUCAUUACAUGACCAGAAAACCUUCAGACAAAUAAAUCGUUUUCACAUUAAAACUUUUCCACCAAGGCUGAAACAUUAUAGUGAAUAAUUUGAAGACUAGAGACUGCUUAAUCUAGCCAUGCCGAUCUGAUCAUUUACAUGAAGAAACUUUGCAUUAGAAGCACACGCUUCAGUAAUCGGUGAGUUUUUAUAACUCUUGGGAGUUUUAACAGGAAUGAUUAAGAACUUCAUUAUUCAUCUAAACUCAACAUGACCUUCAUCAGCGUCUUCAUCUGGAUGUUAUCUGUCUUCUGUUUCAGAGAAUCCAGAGGUGACGUGACAGUCAUUCAAACACCUGCAGUGAAAUCUGUUCAUCCAGGAGACACAGUUACCAUCACCUGUAAAACCAGUCCUGAAGUCUAUCAGGGUUGGAGUUAUCAGCCUCUUUCCUGGUAUCAGCAGAAACCUGGAGAAGCUCCUAAACUCCUGAUUAUAAAAGCAAAUGAGUUACACACAAAUACUCCAUCUAGAUUCAGUGGCAGUGGAUCAAACACAGAUUUCACUCUGAGAAUCAGUGACGUUCAGACUGAAGAUGCAGGACAUUAUUACUGUUUUGGUUAUCAUGGUAGCAAUGUGUUCACACAGUGAUAGAGAGUCAUACAAAAACCUCCAUCAGUCAGACUGACACACCUGACAGAUGCACACAUCCAUAAUUCAUAUACAUAACAAAAUACAUAAUACGGUUGUAAACACAUCUCAAUUUUUCAUGAAAUCUGUACAUCUGAACACAGUUCAUUCUGGCCUUUGGAUUUUUCCAGGUUUGUCUGAAUUAUGUCAGAGAUGCUGGUUUUUAAGUGUAUGUUCACUGUCAAUCUUUUUUUAUAUAUAUAUUCUAUAGCGUGUAUCUCAUUUAAAUGUUUCUCUUGAAAGAUUCCAUACACAUUUUAGAGGUCUUUUCAAAGAAAAAUAUUGACGAGUUAUCUUUUUGUGUGUUUAUAAUUCAUAAUACAAUUUAUAAUACAAAAGCAGUCCUCUUGACAUCAGUUCAGAGAAAAUUCCCUUUGAAAAUCCUUUGAAACUUCUUAACUGACUAACGUCUCCAUCGAGUAGAAGUGAAACUGUUCCGGUUCACAACGUUUAACCAAUCAAACAGCGAAUGUGAUAGUGAGGUGUAAAAAUCACAUUUGAAUUGGCAGGGUGAA